rnacentral:lncRNA from 1 species
AACACUGAGCUGUGUACUCAGUUUGUACUUUCCUCCUGAGCACAGGGGAAACCUGGAGCAACAGCAUGCUAGCAAGACACUGCUUCACCUGCAGAGUGUGAAGGUGGGAGGUGAGCAUUCCUGGACAACCUCUGAGAAAGUUUCAGGCAUCACAUAUGUUAACUCUUCAAUGAGCCAUGUGAACUUGGACUUAUGUUAACUCUUCUUAUGAGCUAUGUGAACUUGGACAAGUAACUUCAUCCUUUGUCUCAGAUUCUACA